rnacentral:tRNA from 1 species
GGGCCUGUAGCUCAAUGGCAGAGCGCACGACUCAUAAUCGCAGGGUUCUCGGUUCGAGUCCGGGCGGGCCCACCA